CAGCCGCCGCGGUAAUACAGAGGGUGCGAGCGUUAAUCGAAUUUACUGGGCGUAAAGCGUGCGUAGGCGGCUUCUUAAGUCGGAUGUGAAAUCCCUGAGCUUAACUUAGGAAUUGCAUUCGAUACUGGGAAGCUAGAGUAUGGGAGAGGAUGGUAGAAUUCCAGGUGUAGCGGUGAAAUGCGUAGAGAUCUGGAGGAAUACCGAUGGCGAAGGCAGCCAUCUGGCCUAAUACUGACGCUGAGGUACGAAAGCAUGGGGAGCAAACAGGAUUAGAGACCCCUGUAGUCCCUGUCUCUUAUAC
rnacentral:rRNA from 1 species